rnacentral:rRNA from 1 species
UACGUAGGGGGCAAGCGUUGUCCGGAAUCAUUGGGCGUAAAGCGCGUGUAGGCGGCUGGCUAAGUCCGCUCUGAAAGCCCGGGGCUCAACCCCGGGAGGCGGGUGGAUACUGGUCAGCUCGAGUCCGGAAGAGGAGUGUGGAAUUCCUGGUGUAGCGGUGAAAUGCGCAGAUAUCAGGAGGAACACCAAUGGCGAAGGCAGCACUCUGGGACGGUACUGACGCUGAGACGCGAAAGCGUGGGGAUCAAACAGG